GUAAGACCCCCACCCCUUCCCCUACAAAAAUUCCUUCAGCCAAACCCCAUCUCUAGAGGGCCGCUCACUCUAACCCCAUAUUCUUAGGUCUACCACCCCUCCCUUUUUCCUCAAGACCAAGCUCUCAUCUCUCCCCUCAUUCCAAAAAGACGCGCACACACAAAGAUGGAGGGAACGAAAUUUGGAUAGAAACUUUAGGUUCUUUAGGUUUCUAUCUUUUCUAAGUUUGGUUAAAAAUUUCAGAAUUUCAAAAAAAUACAAAAACGAAAAAAAAAAUAUUCUUUCAUGUUUCUUCUGCUGGAUCGUCGUUCGAGGUCCAAGUUCGUGGGGUUUCCCGAUUCGCCUCACUACUGUCUUCUUCUUUCAGAUUUUCACCUUUUGUGAAGUUGUUUCAGAAGCUCUAUUUUUCAUAUAUUAAUGAAAGCUUGGUUAACAGGUUCGUUUCUUGAUUUUCUCUUGUCUAUUUAAGUUUAUUUAAUUUGAAUAUUAUUCCACGACAUGUCCUGUUUUAGUUAUGUGAUUAAAUGUUAUAAUCUUGAAUCUGUUUCGUUUAGAUACGUUGGUUGCAAUUCUUUAAUUAACCUUAAGAGUUUACUGCUUUGAACUCUUCAUAAGACAUGUAAUCUAUUUAUGUUAAAUUUAAGUGUUAGUGGAGUAACUUGUGAGGCUAAUAUGAAUUUCAUGUACUAGUGGAAGAGAGUUUAAGAAAAGAUUGAAGCGAUAAGAAUUUAUUUUCCUUGUCUUCAUUUAGUUUAGUAUUCUGUGAUCUUUCUAAUUACCUAAACAUUUAGUUCAUUGAAUGGUUUGAAUGCAUAUUUAAUCGAUUGUUUAUUUCUGUUUUGUUUGUUUUUGUUGCAUUCAUCACUGUUUCUCUGUGGCGGAAGGGUCCUGUGGUUGUGGGUUCAAAAUUAGAUUUAGGGUUUGAUUAAUAUUGAGAAGGAAUCUGAGUUUAAAAAAGGUAUUGCCACCCUCGUUUUUAUCUUUCUUUUAAUUUCUCAGGUCACUAGGAGCAUGCUAGGCCCGUUGAUAUUAUAUAGCUGCCCUUUUUUAUUAGUCCAUAAAUAAUUUUAUAAUAUUCAUAAACAUAUUAGUAGCUUCAGAAACAUUCUUAGUUAACCAGAUUAUUGUGAUUAUGUAUACAUUCGCGUGACAUAAUAACGAUUUUCAAAAUUAAAUCUAGGGUAUGCAUUCACACAACUUUGGGAAAAACAAUCUUACUAGUAAUUAUAAAGUGUUAUUAACUGUGUACACGUACCCGUGACAUGAUUCUGGACACACCAAACAAAAGAGUACACGUACAUAUGACUUGUUUCAAGAUAAUUUCAUAAUUACGAACAAUCAAGCAAUUAAAAGCAGUAAGAAGGUCAAAUGUACAUUGGUUCUAAAAGUGAGUAAUUAAACAAUUUAAUCAAGUCAUGUAUGAUUAAAGCGACUGGGCUAAAAUAACGAAACUCGAGAGUGCCUAACAUCUUCUCCCGGGUUAACGCAAUUCCUUACCCAGUCAUCUAGUUUCGCAGACUUUAAACAGAGUCAAAUUUCUUCGAUUUGAAAUUAAAAUAAACUGGUGACUUGGGACACCAUAAAUUAUCCUAAGUGGAGACUCUAAAAUUGAAUAAAAUAAUUCUAUUUCGAUUAGUGUCACUUAAAUUUGAAAAACUCCCUAUCCCUCAGGAAAAAGGAGGUGUGAUAGUCUUCCUAUUUUCUUUGGCAACCAUACUGCAAGCCUGACACCUUUAUUUGAAUUGGCUAUCUGUUUGAACCAUUUACCUCUCUUGAGUACUUGGUACAUUUAUAAGCUUGUUAAAAGCUAAAUGAGGUAUGGUUGGGGUUUUUAAGUGGAACUAUAGAAAAGCAGAAAGGUGCAGUGUUUGAAAAAAAUUGGGAGAGCUACUGGUAGGGAAUUGAAAAAAGACAAAAAAAUGGUGUUUGUAUAUAUUAUAAAAAAAAUUAUUCCUUGAUAGUGGUAAAUCUUGUUUUGUCUAUGCUUAAAGAAAUUGGGAGCUUGGUGUUAACAUGAUGUGAAGGUUGAGGAUUGGUUUAACAUAAGUGUGGAGGUAGAAUUUGUGAAAUUGUAUGUAUUAAAGUUCUCAGGGAGGUGUAGCCACUAUUAUCCAAAUUGUAUCCUACUCGUCCCGCAGCCUACAUUGCAACUAAAAUUAAGUCCUAUUUGUUCUUUGACUGAAUGAGCUCAAUUAGUAGAGUAUCAUACUGCGGGCAAGCCUAUGGUACGUUUUUUGUGGCACAUGGAUUUUGAUUCUAAGAGUGAGUGAAUUCUUUCUAUCUUUAGUUCCUAUUUGUUCGUGAAUUUUAUUUUGUGUGGAACUACUCUCUAUAUUUUGUUAGUGCGAGGGCACAUGACUUGCGAAGGAAAGGUAAUGACAUUGACCUUUGCGUUAAAGUAGGUAAGCAGGUUGUGAAAAAAUACGUGGUGCUUUUGAGUCAAGUUUUGAGACUAGGAUGUUAUGAUAGGGUGCUUAUUCUUCUUUAAAAAUUCUUAGCAUGAUCUGGCAGGGAAGUUGUUUGAUGAAAAGGUCAUCCCUAUGUGAAGUGUAGUGUGAUUGAUCAAGGAAGAGCAAUGGUAUAAGUGUGGGGUAUUGAUGAUAGGCUGAAAAUCCAUAUUUUAGCCGUAGUAUUGCACUCUAAUUACUGUAGUUUAUAUGUGUUUGAGCUUAAAUGAUAGUGAACUACAAUUAUUAUGUGUUUUAUGCCUUGCAGGAAGUGAUUUUGAGUAAAAAAAGUUAAUUUGGAUCUAAAUAGAACAAGUUAUAGCUUUGAAGUAUAAGUAGAAGCCCAAGAAAUUAAGACGGAAUCACAUUCGGGGGUCGAGGAUUAAGUCCGAAUGUCAAAAAGUGGAUAAAACGAUUUACUCUGAGAAAACAACACUGUUGUGCUGCAUGGGGCACCACAAUAGCGUGGCAUGACUAUGUAAACAUGGUUGCCUGACAGAAUUCAGCUCUCUGAACAUCCUCAUAAGCGCGUCACAUGGCACAGUGCGCCUGUAUAAAUUUCUCAGAGUUAUUUCCUAUUUCGGCUAGGAAAAGGGAGUUUCGUUUGGGCCCGUUCCUACAGAGUACAAAUAUAACAAAAAUAUAUUUUUGAAGGGACUUUUGACCUACGAAAAUUUGAGAAGCAACUAAGGCAAGAAGACACAAGAAUUCAUGAAGAUUUCAACCAACGAUCGGUGCAAUACGGGAGUUUGUGUCGAAUCAUUAUCAUUGAUGUUUUCUUUGUUUUUAAACCUUAUUGAGAUGACUUUUUCUAUUACUAUGGAGUAAUUUCCAUUAGGGUCUUGAUAGAUACGGUAUUUUGAUAAAUUGAUUAGGGAUUCGAUUCUUGAUAAUUGUUGGAAUUAAUUGAUGGAGUUUUAAUUUGUAUUAUGAAUUUAUUUCUUAUUUUGCUUAAUCGAAAGAGGAGCUUGAUAUUGAAUGUCUUUACAUCUUAUGCUCUAGUUUAAAUUUGUGAUUCGAUUAGGUAAUCGAAAGAGCCCCUUGAAUUGUUAAUCGAACUAGAAAUAAGGAAAUAUUCGUGAUAAGUUACCCUUUAGACCAUAACCAUCAUUUUAUUCGUUACAAUUGUUUAUCGUGAUUCAAUUAGAUUAAUUACUGAAAUUAACAUUUAAUCAAAAGGGGAGCAUUAACUUCAAGUGUAAUAUAUUAUCUGUUAAAUUCAAGAGAAUCAACAGUAUUAUAGAGCGAACUAACUCAAGAAUUGGAUCCCGAGUCAAUUAUCUUAUACCUAUCUAGUCAAUUACCAUUAUUUCUCUCAUUGAUAUCUCUUUGUUGCUCAUCUGCUAUCUUUUAUAAUCAAUUGUUAAAUUUUUAGUAGUUAGUCAGAGUUGCUAAUCAUCAAAUCAAGUAUUUAUUUUCGUGGAUAGUAAUCAACUGAAGAUUAUUCGAAUAUUGUUUAAAUCUAAUCCCUGUGAAUACGAUAAUUAAACUAUAUUAUCUUUGACUAGCGACCAAUAACUUUGUGUUUUGUUUUGUGCUCAUCAAAUUUUGUGUUGUGUUUUUUUUUAAUUUCUUGGCCCCAAAAAUUAUACAUCCGCGUUGCGGGGUGAUUUAGCUCCAAAUUAACUUUUUAACACAAAAUCACUUCCUGCAAUACAUAAACACUUAAUAAGAGUAAUUCACUAUCAUUUAAGCUCAAACACACAUAAAAAUAGUAAUUAUAGUGCAAUACUACGGCUAAAAUACGGGCUUCUAGCCUACCAUUAAGAAGUGCCUAUCGAGUGUUCAGUCCAUUUGGGUGUCAAAACAUGCAUCUAUGAACAGAUGUAAUGCCUCAUUGCUUGAAGAUAUAUUGAAGAUGUAGUCAUUGAGUUGUUCAAGCCACCUUUGCCUCAAAUUCAGCUCUCAUUGGUUGAAGAUAUAUUGUAGACUCGUAUAGUCCGUGAAUAUAUACAUGUGCACUCCAUACAAGUAAUGACGCCUCAAUGUGACCACCACUGUCGCAAAAUCCAAAUCAUGAGUCAGAUAAUUUCUUUCAUGAUUUUUAAGUUUCCUCGAAUCAUAAACAACUACCUUACUGUUGUUUAUCUGAAUAGAUCCGAGACUAAUUCCAAAAGAAUCGUCAUGGAUUACAAACCUUUCGAAUCAACCAGUAAUAUCAACACGGUCAAUCCGGUCUUCAAUCGUUGAAAACUUUUCACACAAACAUCGGACUAUUUGAAUUUAGCCACCUUUGAGUCAACUUGGUUAACAUGGAGGCAAGAGAAGAAAAUCUCACUAUAAACCUUUUGUGAUAACCGGCCAAACUCAAGAAACUUUGAGGUAUUGCCCAAAUCUUUGUGGCUUCUAUAUUUUGACCCUUCACUUGAAACCACAUGACCCAAUAAAGCUACGGAUUUGAGCCAAAAUUUACACUUCGAAAACUACACGUAUAACUCGUUCUCUUGGAGCGUCCAUAAGAUCCCCCGGAGGUGAUUGAUAUGAUCUUCCUGACUCCGAGAAUAUAUAAGGAUGUCAUCAAUAAACACUAUGACGAACAUGUCCAAGAAAGGUUUCAAAAACCAAUUCAUAAGAUCCAUAAAGGUUGUUGGGGCAUUUAUUAACCCGAAAGACAUCACCAUAAACUCAAAGUGAACGAGUUUUAAAAGCCACCUUCGGAAUGUCCUUUUAUUCUCUUAUUUUUAAUUGAUGGUUGAUGGUAGGUUAAAUUACGUGUUUUAGUCGCUUAUUACAUUCUAAUUUACUACACAUUAAUUGUGUUUGAGCUUUAAUCAUUAGUGUUUUGUACUUAUUAUGUGUUUUAUGCCUUGUAGGAGUGACUCCGAGUGAUGUAGAUGUUAUAGAGAUAAUUCGAGCUAUUUGGAGCUUUGAAGUCUGAUUAUAAGCCCAAGGGAUUAAGCCGAGAUCGUAUUUGGGGGUCGAGGACCAAGUCUGGAUGUUAAAAUGCAAGAUUUGAGUCGUACUCUAAGAAAUUUGCAGUAGUGCGAUGCAGGGUGCGAGGCAUAGUGCGAGGCAGCAGUGUAUUUUUUGUUGCUUGUCAAGUUGUUGAGCUUCUUGAAGAUCUCCACUAGUGGGGGCAUGGUGCGUCGCCCCAUGCGGCGCUCCUGUGCAAUUUUUACAGGCCAAUGUCCUAUUUCGUCUAGGAGAAGGUGGUUUCGUUUGGGCCCUACCUUACUUGCUAUAAAUACAUAUAAAAAUAUUAUUUUGAGGACCUUUGACAUAUCUUAGACCUAAGGAAGCUAAGGAGGAAGUGGAGAAGCAAAAGCACAAGGAUUUCAUCAUUCAAUCCUUACUCAAGACAUGAGUUUGGAUCGCUUAUGUUUUCCUUUAACUUAAAUAUAUUUGUGAUGAAUUGCUCCAUAUCUAUGGAGUAGUUCUCUUUAGGGUUUGAUGGAUUUUCUGUAUUGUUUUUUGUUUGUGAGUAUUAACUCUAGUUUUAUGUAUUGAAUCGUUUUGGAUGUUUUAAUCGUUGCAUCUAUAUUCACUUGUUCAUAUUAUUGAGAGAGGC
rnacentral:lncRNA from 1 species